AAAAUAAAACACACUUUUUAUUCUAGAUACCCUAAGAAUCAUUCAGCUUAAGUUUGGUUGGAAUUGGUGCAGUGGUUUCAGAGGAGAAUAUUUUUUAAAGUUAGAAAACAUGAUAAACAAAUUGUGUAAAAUAGUCCUUAAAGGGCAAUAACUCUUUAAGGGGUCAAUUGACAAUUUUGGUCAUAUCAAACUUAUUUGUAGAUCUUACUUUGCUGAACAUAUUUGCUGUUUACUGUUUAUCUUUAUCAUUAAUACUAUUCAAGAUAAUAACCAAUAAAAUGCUUCGCUGGGGCGCAGCUUGAUACGACCGCAGAGGUCGAACCCUGAACAGUUGGGGCAAGUAUGGACACAACAUUCAAGCUUGAUACAGAUCUAAAUUUAGAUUGUUAUUAAAUAUUUGACACUGCAUAGGUUUCUGACACAGAAAGAAUGUGGUCUAAGAACUUGAAUUUUUUUAAUUUACCUAUUAUGGUCCAAUGUCCAAAAUCAAAAUACAUGGUUAGAUUCAGCAUAUCAAAGAACCCCAUAUAUUCAAUUUUUGUUAAAAUCAAACAAAGUUUAAUUUUGGACCCCAACUUGGACAAACUUGAAAACUGGGCCCAUAAUCAAAAAUCUAAACACAUGUUUAGAUUCAGCAUAUCAAAGAACCCCAAGAUUUCAAUUUUUGCUUAAAUCAAACUAAGUUUAAUUUUGGACCCUUUGGACCUUAAUGUAGACCAAUUUAAAAAACGGGACUUAAAAUUAAAAAUCUAAAUACACGGUUAGAUUUGGAAUAUCAAAGAACCCCAAUAAUUCAAUUUUUGAUGAAAUCAAACAAAGUUUAAUUUUGGACCCUUUUGACCUCAAUAUGAACCAAUUUGAUAGCGGGGCCCACAAAUAAAAAAUCUAAAUUCAUGGGUUAGAUUCAGCAUAUCAAAGAACCCCAUAUAUUCAAUUUUUGUUGAAAUCAAAAAAAGUUUAAUUUUGGACCCCAACUUGGACCAACUUGAAAACUGGGCCCAUAAUCAAAAAUCUAAACACAUGUUUAGAUUCAGCAUAUCAAAGAACCCCAAGAAUUCAAUUUUUCUUAAAAUCAAACUAAGUUUAAUUUUGGACCCUUUGGACCUCAAUGAAGACCAAUUUAAAAAACGGGACCCAAAUUAAAAAUCUAAAAACACGGUUAGAUUUGGCAUAUCAAAGAACCCCAAUAAUUCAAUUUUCGAUGAAAUCAAACAAAGUUUAAUUUUGGACCCUUUUGACCUCAAUAUGAACCAAUUUGAUAGCGGGGCCUACAAAUAAAAAAUCUAAAUACAUGGUUAGAUUCAGCAUAUCAAAGAACCUCAUAUAUUCAAUUUUUGUUGAAAUCAAACAAAGUUUAAUUUUGGACCCCAAUUUGGACCAACUUGAAAACUGGGCCCAUAAUCAAAAAUCUAAAUACAUGUUUAGAUUCAGCAUAUCAAAGAACCCCAUAUAUUCAAUUUUUGUUGAAAUCAAACAAAGUUUAAAUACUGGACCCUAUCUUGGACCAACUUGAAAACUGGGCCCAUAAUCAAAAAACAUGUUUAGAUUCAGCAAAUCAAAGAACCCCAAGAAUUCAAUUUUUGUUAAAUCAAACUAAGUUUAAUUUUGGACCCUUUGGACCUUAAUGUAGACCAAUUUAAAAAACAGGACCCAAAAUUAAAAACCUAAAUACACGGUUAGAUUUGGAAUAUCAAAGUACCCCAAUAAUUCAAUUUUAGAUGAAAUCAAACAAAGUUUAAUUUUGGACCCUUUUGACCUCAAUAUGAACCAAUUAGAUAACGGGGUCCACAAAUAAAAAAUCUAAAUACAUGGUUAGAUUCAGCAUAUCAAAGAACCCCAUAUAUUCAAUUUUUGUUGAAAUCAAACAAAGUUUAAUUUUGGACCCCAAUUUGGACCAACUUGAAAACUGGGCCAAAAAUCAAAAAUCUAAAUACAUGUUUAGAUUCAGCAUAUCAAAGAACCUCAUAUAUUCAAUUUUUACUAAAAUCAAACAAAGUUUAAUUUUGGACCCUUUGGACAUUAAUGUAGACCAAUUUGAAAACUGGACCCAAAAUUAAAAAUCUAAAUACACUGUUAGAUUCGGCAUAACAAAUAAAUAAAUGUGAUCAAAGAUUUUACAAAUCUAAUGCGCCAUACUGUGCAAUUAAAGAUUACU